rnacentral:rRNA from 1 species
CGGACGGGUGAGUAAUAUAUCGGAACGUACCGAGUAAUGGGGGAUAACUAAUCGAAAGAUUAGCUAAUACCGCAUAUUCUCUGAGGAGGAAAGCAGGGGACCUUCGGGCCUUGCGUUAUUCGAGCGGCCGAUAUCUGAUUAGCUAGUUGGUGGGGUAAAGGCCUACCAAGGCGACGAUCAGUAGCGGGUCUGAGAGGAUGAUCCGCCACACUGGGACUGAGACACGGCCCAG